rnacentral:rRNA from 1 species
UACGUAGGGUGCGAGCGUUGUCCGGAAUUACUGGGCGUAAAGAGCUCGUAGGUGGUUUGUCGCGUUGUUCGUGAAAUCUCACGGCUUAACUGUGAGCGUGCGGGCGAUACGGGCAGACUAGAGUACUGCAGGGGAGACUGGAAUUCCUGGUGUAGCGGUGGAAUGCGCAGAUAUCAGGAGGAACACCGGUGGCGAAGGCGGGUCUCUGGGCCACUACUGACGCUGAGAAGCGAAAGCGUGGGGAGCGAACAGG